rnacentral:rRNA from 1 species
GACGAACGCUGGCGGCGUGCUUAACACAUGCAAGUCGAACGGAAAGGCCCUGCGUUUGUGGCGUGCUCGAGUGGCGAACGGGUGAGUAACACGUGAGUAACCGGCCCUGGACGUUGAGAUAACUUCUGGUAACUGAUGCUAAUACCGGAUAGGAGCUCCUGCUGCAUGUUGGGGGUUGGAAAGGUUGGGCGGUUGGGGCUGUUCUCUCGGCUGAUCCGGUUGUGGGUGGGGUAGUGGAUUACCAAGGCUUGGACGGGUAGCCGGCCUGGGAGGGUGGCCGGCGACAUAGGGACUAGGAUACGGCCCGGACUCGUACGGGAGGCAGCAGUGGGGAAGAUGGCAGCAUGGGCGGGCGCCUGCUGCAGGAACGCGGCGUGCGGGAUGACGGAAUUCGGGGUGGACACCGAUUUCGGCUGUGACGAAGCGUGAGUGACGGUAACGGGUAAAGAAGCACCGGCUAACUACGUG